GUUCCUCCCCUACCAUGACGAACCCUAGAUUGCUUUGGCCUGUCAUCUCCCCCUUUCUACCAACUCUGAAGUACAAGUCACGCUCUUCUGAUUUAUUCAUCUUUCUUCCAAAGUUUUCUUCAUCUUCACUUCAAUCCGAAACCCUAACUGUGAUGCCGUGUUUUCGUUCAACUUUCCAUCCCCUUUUCACCAACCCAUCAAUUGUGUCCUAUCAGAUUGAUGUGAUGAUGGUUUGAUUUUGGCCGCUGGUUGAUGUUUGCCUCACAAUUUCUUUGCCGCCGUUUAUGGUCUUACCAUUCACAUCUCUACAUCUCAAACCAUCCCAUGUUCAUGCGUCAUUCCUUCUCCUGCAAAACUGAAAUUGUAGGUUUGAAUGCAUCAACAAAGGUUGACUCUCUAAUCAAAUGGUCAAUGUCAAUCCAAGGCUCCAUUAAUUAUCUCCAUUGUGUUGUAUAUAUUUUGAGGUACUUAGAGGUGGUCAGGUUGCAUCAGCCGUUAGCACUACUGAUCAUCAUGCUGGAAAUUUUGAAGCCAAAUUUUAUGAUAUGAUUCUUCAAGAAGAAUUUAGGGAUGUGAAAGGGCAUUCUGGACUGAUUAAUGUUAUGGCCUUUAUUCAGUUGUUGUUCAAUUUUCUUCUUUAUGAGUGUUUGAUGCAAUAAUAGCUCAUGGAUCUCUCACAAAACAAGGAGUAGAAGCAAGCAUUGAGAAAAAGCAUUGUAAGGGAACUUGCUGAUGAUUUGAGAGCUCAUAUAAUAUCUUCCUACAUGAAAAUCAUGGAAGAAAGACCUGCAUUAUCUGACCCUGUCAGUGAUGGACAUGUUUUAGUGCAGUUUUAUGGAAAUAAUGGGAUUGUUUACCAGGAAUGGACAUUAUGUGUCUUUCACUCUAAGGAGUUGCAAUGUCAAAAUAAAAUUUUGAUUUGUUAAGGGAAGAUAUGGUGACAAAGAAUGAAGCAGAUUGUAGAAAACUAAAGGCGUCGUGAAAGUCCUCAAAGUUUUGGGAACUGCAUAGAAGCUUCGAAGAAGGAUAGGCAGUAUCUUCGCUACCAAAUAGAAGUUGAGUGAAAGUUAAAAGAUUUAACAUUUUCCAGUGAAAAUGAGAUGCUUAAAGACACUGCAAUCUUCUCAAGAUCAUAAUUGUCAUCUCAAGUGUUGAUCUUCAAGUCAGUUUCUUCUGAAAACCAUGCUCAAAUUUGGUGUUAGAUUCCUUCUCUUGAAGGCUGCAUAUAAUGUUCCAUUUCUGAUGCGUAGAAAUACUAUACCCAAAUUGGAGCUUUCAUCUCCACCCAAAUCAAAUAUCAUUCAUUCCAAUCACUAAACGACAUGAUGGCCUUCUUGCUGGCUCUGAAACAACUGCAGACUUUACUUCCUCAAUGCAUUCUCUUCUUGUGAAUACAAUGGACCUCACUAAGCCUAAAAUUUAAGAAAUGAUGAUGGUGACCUUUCCAUUCAUUUAACAGCAAUGGUUCUAAACCAUAUAGGUACGCUACUGUUGGACAGAAUGACAAGACAAUCACAAUCCAAAUGCAACAAAUAACUACAUUUUUUUUUUGCACUUAUCACAGCAACCUACUGCUCAAAGGAAUUUCAACCCUGCAAGAGAAUUGUAUUCAAUAUUGUGGUAUGGCUUUAGCACGAUGGAACUAACACAUGGAAAAAAAUACAACCUAAAAGCGCUCCUCCUUUUACGGCUCUUUUUGUUUUCACAGUCUAGAUCAUUAGAUGUGAAAGAAAAUAUUUGCAUUAUAAAAUGUAGCCCUGAAUCACUUAUCAAGCUCUUAAAGUACUAAAAAUUCAAAUUUGACAUCACUAUUUUAUUACUGAAGUCCUUUCCUAAUGAUACAUUGAUGAACGAGAAAGAGUAUCUAUGUCCUAAAAGUAAAAUUGGUUAUUGUUAUUAUGUCUUUUUAAUUUGAAAUUAAAAAGGCUCCUCAAGAACAUUGUCUUCAAGGAAGUUUUCCAAAAAAAUUACAAGGAUUAGUUUGUAUGAUUUCCUAAUUUUUUUCUCUAAAGUUGGGUGCUAAUUCAAUUAACCAACAUUUGAGCAACAUAUAUUAUAUACCUUAUUCGUACCUCUUUGUAUUUAUUAUUUGUUUAUCUUUUACAUGUAAGAUUGCGCUGGAGAUUACACCACAAGUUCAUAUUAACCGUAAAGGGCGAACCAAACUUAAUAUUGUAGAGUUAUCCAAUUAAUGUCCAUAAGUAAGAUGAAAUAUCGAGACAAAACGAAAGAUAAUAACAACAUAUAAGUGUUUUACUAAUUAAAAUUAUAUGUUUUAGUAAAUAUAUCAUAUUAUUUCAUAUAUAUCAAACACUAAGUAAUUAAUUAAUAGUCAAAAGAAAAAACACACAAUGGUAAUAAUUAACAAUUGAUUUGAGUAAAAAUUAUCUGUGCAUCGCACGGACAAACGGGUAUAAAACUAGUAUAAUAUAUAGUAACACUCAUUUUUCACUGUACUCUUAUGUUUAUACAUAAUAUAGGUGGGUGUAAUUCACAUGAACAUAACUUUUCUAUUGAGUAAUCAUUCAAUCACAUCUUAUUUUCUCUCUCAUUUCAUUUACACACGUUUUUCUUCUUAUAUCUUUCUACAUUUUCUGUUCCAUGAAAUAUCAUUUCACUCAUUUAUCUAUUUUUUUUCAUAUUUAUCCAAGGUGGAAGGGAGAUGAGAAGGGAAACAAAACAUUAUUCCUUCCAUUUCAUUAUUGUUUGAGUUGGCAUGUGAACAGUGAAUAUGAGCGCUGAGAGCCAAAGGAGAGGGAUGAGAGUCAGAGCGUUGUCAAAUCACACACACCAACCAAUGCUGCUACUGGGACGGCUUAGCUGAUAUGUGGCUGCGCCCAAAGUGAAUCCAAAGCACAAGAAAAAGUGCAAAUGAGUCAUCAAAAAUUAUAAAGUGUUAAAACUAUCAUGCAUUUUAUCUUUCUUUAAUAUUUGAUCAAUUCCUUUUGCAAGUGUUUCGAAGACUCUGCAUAUGCACAUCUUACCCCAUUAGUGCAUCUUUGUAAAGGAAUAUUUAAUUUUGGGAAAAAAUUAAAUUAACUUUUAUGAUUAA